rnacentral:rRNA from 1 species
CCCUUAGAUGUUCUGGGCCGCACGCGCGCUACACUGACGGAGGCAGCGAGCAUGUCCUUCGCCGAGAGGUGUGGGGAAUCUUGUGAGUCUCCGUCGUGCUGGGGAUAGAUGGUUGCAAUUGUCGAUCUUGAACGAGGAAUUCCUAGUAAGCGCGAGUCAUCAGCUCGCGCUGAUUACGUCCCUGCCCUUUGUACACACCGCCCGUCGCUCCUACCGAUUGAAUGAUCCGAUGAAUAUCAUGGAUUGAGGAUGCAAGCAGGUUCGCCUGUCUUCAUCUUCGAGAAGUGAAGUAAAUCUUAUCAUUUAGAGGAAGGAGAAGUCGUAACA